GUAGCAGACCCGCUGAUGGAGCCGGAUGGAGGGAGAGGGAGAGGAGAAGUGAGGGACAGCAGCGGAUACAAAUUGCUCGUUCGUCUGCUUUGGACUUCUCAUGAUGAUAUUCAAAACCUGGAAUAUUUUUUAUAAAGAAUCCUUUUGAUUUUGUGACCCGUGGACCGUUACGGACUAAAAGAAAACAACUAACGGACGAAUGGAGAAAGAACCAGAGUUCUACACGUCUAAGAUCAAGUCAAACACUUUGGACCCAUAAACACCUCUACACCACUACCACCACCAUGUCCCUACGCUCAGAUUGUGAAGGAAACACCUGCGUCGCUGUGUCUGCUUCAAGACCUGGAAGAAGAGCUCCUUCACUCGAGAUGGAGACAGCUCUCGGGGAGUGAAGAGAUGAAGUUUGAAGCUGAACGUUUUUCUUCUGGGCUGAGGCAGGAGUCUCCUCAGGUGGUCUGUGACUGACAGCUACCUGCUGGCCCCGGCCAGACUCAACAACCAUCCAGGCCACACCAGCAAUAAUAACAGGAGGGAUAUUGAUCCUCUCCCAGGCUGUGUUUUCCUUCCACUGAGAGGAUCUUCAAACAGACCUCACAGCUGUCACAACACUGAGGAUUCAGCGGAGGGUUCACACUGAGGUAUUAGGACUUGUUGCGCGAGGAUCAGAGUGGAGAUACUGAGUGGUCAGUGGGAGUGUGAACAGUUUGAGUUGAGUCCACGCAGCUCAGGACGAGGUCGGGAUGGGUGACUCUCUCAGACGGCCGGAAAAGUGUCGCUUUUUCGGGAGACGGCGGCUCAUGAAGUCAACAGGAAGUCCCUCUGCCGUCUGUCGAUGAAAGAUCACUUCUCACUUUCUAACAUCUGACUCGGCCACAAAAGAGUGAUGUGAAACUACUCUGUCUCUUGUCAACAACAGAGCAGCUACAACAGUUUUCCCGCUGUGUUCAGACGAGAGUUGGAUGCACAUAAUUCUCCUCCUCGCGCUAAUUUCUCUUUUAACUGCUGAACUCAGCAUUUCCAGAAAUCACCAUCAACACCACCAUCAUCAUCAUCAACAUCAUCAUCAUCAUCACUCACUUCACAUUACAGCAGUGUGCUGCUGAUGGAGACCAGGUGAAGGGCAAGGUCACAUUCCCUUGAGCGUAAAAGAUGAAUGGAUGCAUUUCCUGUCAUAACACACGGAUACGAACCCAGGGAAUUAUGGGAGAUUUUUGAGUAGGAUACAGUGACCAUGACCAGUUGAGGACAGUACAUACAGUGCGCUCACCUCCUAAUGUAGAAUAUAAUGGAUGUUGAGUUUUUUUUCUUUUCCUCGGUUCUCCCCACAUCCAGUGUGAUGUAUCGUAAAACAUAUAUUUUCCCUCCCCUCCCUCUCCAGCUGUGAAAAUAUUUUCUCUGUCAAACAUCUGUUGGAGGAAUGUGGGGGACAGAGCGCGCCCACUUCCUGUCAGUAAAGCUGCCAAGUGGUACACCCCCUAGUCACCCUCCCUUAUGUUGGCCAACCCUGCUUCCCACAGUAGGUUCCCAGUUCUGGCCCGUACAAAACCCAGCGUCCUUAUACUCACAUAUAGUUUUUAUAUGUGCACCGUACAGCUGAUAUCUGUAAUGUGUCCUAUUUUAUCAUCCAUCAGGGGAAUGCGGAAAACUUUACUGUGGUCACUGAAGGGACAAGCAGUCAGUAUGUUGUUACCAUGGUGACUGUGGUUCCUUAAAAAUAAUAACAUCAUUAUGUCAUGAAAAGGUUAGGCAAAAAAAAAAAACUGUAGGUCAUUUUAAAGCUGCACUGAUCAAUAUUUUUUUAUAUUAAAGGUUCAUAUUUUACACUUUUCUCAGUUUUCUCUCUGGAGCUCUAGUAACAAC